GAACGCUGUGCGGCGUGCCUAAUACAUGCAAGUAGAACUAUAAAGAGAGGAGCUUGCUCUUCUUGGAUGAGUUGCGAACGGGUGAGUAACGCGUAGGUAACCUGCCUUGUAGCGGGGGAUAACUAUUGGAAACGAUAGCUAAUACCGCAUAACAAUGGAUGACACAUGUCAUUUAUUUGAAAGGGGCAAUUGCUCCACUACAAGAUGGACCUGCGUUGUAUUAGCUAGUAGGUGAGGUAAUGGCUCACCUAGGCGACGAUACAUAGCCGACCUGAGAGGGUGAUCGGCCACACUGGGACUGAGACACGGCCCAGACUCCUACGGGAGGCAGCAGUAGGGAAUCUUCGGCAAUGGGGGCAACCCUGACCGAGCAACGCCGCGUGAGUGAAGAAGGUUUUCGGAUCGUAAAGCUCUGUUGUAAGUCAAGAACGGGUGUGAGAGUGGAAAGUUCACACUGUGACGGUAGCUUACCAGAAAGGGACGGCUAACUACGUGCCAGCAGCCGCGGUAAUACGUAGGUCCCGAGCGUUGUCCGGAUUUAUUGGGCGUAAAGCGAGCGCAGGCGGUUUGAUAAGUCUGAAGUUAAAGGCUGUGGCUCAACCAUAGUUCGCUUUGGAAACUGUCAAACUUGAGUGCAGAAGGGGAGAGUGGAAUUCCAUGUGUAGCGGUGAAAUGCGUAGAUAUAUGGAGGAACACCGGUGGCGAAAGCGGCUCUCUGGUCUGUAACUGACGCUGAGGCUCGAAAGCGUGGGGAGCGAACAGGAUUAGAUACCCUGGUAGUCCACGCCGUAAACGAUGAGUGCUAGGUGUUGGAUCCUUUCCGGGAUUCAGUGCCGCAGCUAACGCAUUAAGCACUCCGCCUGGGGAGUACGACCGCAAGGUUGAAACUCAAAGGAAUUGACGGGGGCCCGCACAAGCGGUGGAGCAUGUGGUUUAAUUCGAAGCAACGCGAAGAACCUUACCAGGUCUUGACAUCCCGAUGCUAUUUCUAGAGAUAGAAAGUUACUUCGGUACAUCGGUGACAGGUGGUGCAUGGUUGUCGUCAGCUCGUGUCGUGAGAUGUUGGGUUAAGUCCCGCAACGAGCGCAACCCCUAUUGUUAGUUGCCAUCAUUCAGUUGGGCACUCUAGCGAGACUGCCGGUAAUAAACCGGAGGAAGGUGGGGAUGACGUCAAAUCAUCAUGCCCCUUAUGACCUGGGCUACACACGUGCUACAAUGGUUGGUACAACGAGUUGCGAGUCGGUGACGGCGAGCUAAUCUCUUAAAGCCAAUCUCAGUUCGGAUUGUAGGCUGCAACUCGCCUACAUGAAGUCGGAAUCGCUAGUAAUCGCGGAUCAGCACGCCGCGGUGAAUACGUUCCCGGGCCUUGUACACACCGCCCGUCACACCACGAGAGUUUGUAACACCCGAAGUCGGUGAGGUAACCUUUUGGAGCCAGCCGCCUAAGGUGGGACAGAUGAUUGGGGU
rnacentral:rRNA from 1 species